GAUGAACGCUGGCGGCGUGCCUAAUACAUGCAAGUCGAACGCACAGCGAAAGGUGCUUGCACCUUUCAAGUGAGUGGCGAACGGGUGAGUAACACGUGGAUAACCUACCUCAAGGUUGGGGAUAACAUUUGGAAACAGAUGCUAAUACCGAAUAAAACUUAGUAUCGCAUGAUACCAGGUUAAAAGGCGCUACGGCGUCACCUAGAGAUGGAUCCGCGGUGCAUUAGUUAGUUGGUGGGUAAAGGCUUACCAAGACAAUGAUGCAUAGCCGAGUUGAGAGACUGAUACGGCCACAAUUGGGACUGAGACACGGCCCAAACUCCUACGGGAGGCUGCCAGUAGGGAAUCUUCCACAAUGGGCG
rnacentral:rRNA from 1 species